rnacentral:rRNA from 1 species
UACGUAGGGUCCGAGCGUUAAUCGGAAUUACUGGGCGUAAAGCGUGCGCAGGCGGUUUUGUAAGCCAGAUGUGAAAUCCCCGGGCUUAACCUGGGAACUGCAUUUGGGACUGCAAGGCUUGAGUACAGCAGAGGGGGGUAGAAUUCCUGGUGUAGCAGUGAAAUGCGUAGAUAUCAGGAGGAAUACCGAUGGCGAAGGCAGCCCCCCUGGGUUGAUACUGGACGCUGCAGUGCACGAAAGCGUGGG